rfam:Beauveria bassiana D1-5 mit mitochondrial, whole genome shotgun sequence.
UGUAAGUAUGUAAAGAAAUUAUUAUGCAAUUCUAGCUAUGUAUUAAGGAGAGCAAAUUUGAUAUAAAAAGGAAUAUUAUAUAUUUCUAGUUAAUAAGCUCUAGAAUAAAUUUAAUAAUAAACGAAGUGAAGUGAAAUAUCUCAGUAACUUCAGGAAAAGAAAUCAAAAGAGAUUCUAUGAAUAGCGUGAGCGAAAGUAGAUAAGUCUAUUAAGUAAAAUGGUUUAUAAACUGUUUGAACGGGGAACCUUCCUCAAAGACUAAAUAUGAUACAUAAGCGAUAGAUAAUGGGCCGUGAGGUAAUUAGAAGUUAGUAGUAAUUUUAUAAGCAGUUCUAAUAAAUUUAGUUUAAAGAACGUACCUUUUGCAUAAUGGGUCACCAAGUUAACAUUAGAUGCGAGAAAAUUUCGUAGUUAAACCAAACAUUAAAAUAACGAUUAGUGUCUAAAGUUAGACCCGAAGCCUAGUGAUUUUACUAUGAUCAGGAUUAUAAAAGUCCGAACGGGUGAUUGUGGCAAAAAUCUCCGAAGAAUCGUGGUAGGUAUAGUGAAAGACAAUACUGACUAGGAUAGCUGGUUUUCUGCGAAACCUAUAACAGUAGGCAAUUUAAGUAAAUAUCUUAGCAGGUACAGAAUUUAAUCUCAGGCAGUGAUAUAUUGCGCAAAUUGGGGAAUCGUGAAGAUUUUAUCAGUGAGUAUGUAGACUCGGAAUGGCAAAGAUAUAUCUUGAAUGAUCAGACAUAGAAUGAUAAGGUUGUAUGUCAAAAGGGAAACAGCCCAGAACAAGAGUUAAGGUUCCUAAAUUAUUUGUUAAGUGAAAGUAAGAAAGUUUUUAUUAAAGUCGACAAGGAGAUAGGCUUAGAAGCAGCCAUAAUUUUAUGACCUCGUAACAGAGCGCUUGUUAAGUUAUAAAAGCAUCGAAAAUAUAACGGAUCUAAACAAUAUACCGAAACCUUGUCCAUAAAUUAAUGCAGAAAUUCUUGCAUAUUUAUGGGGUAGCAGAACGUUGAAUUAAGCUAAAUAGCAAGUUUAUAAAUUUGUUAUGUUAAUUCAAGUGAGAAUGGUGACAUGAGUAACGAAAAGAAUAGUAGAUUUUGGCAAUUUUUUUUCUUAGUAGUAGCCUAGUAAGCUAUAAAAAUACAAAGAAUAAUUAUCUAAAUACAUUAAAUAAUAGAUCUUAUUUAGUGCUUACAAGAUCUACUAUCCGCCUAAAGCUUAUGGUUAGAAUUAAGUAACGGCCUCUAAGUUUUUUAUCUAAAGAUGGAAGCGAUGAGAAAAUCUUUUAUUAUGAGACGACAUUUAUCUAGUGACAAAUGUACAGGAAAUAUCAUGAUAUAGUAACCGUACCUAGAAACCGACUACGGUAAGCUAGUAGAGUAUACGAAGGCGUAAUUGAGAUAACAAUCAUAAAGGAACUCGGCAAAUUGACUAUCGUAACUUCGGGAUAAGUAGGGCUCAUUAUUCUUGAUUAAUAUCAGGUAAAGAGGAAGAAACAUAAAAUAAUGUUGUACGACUGUUUAAUUAAAACACAGCACUUUGCUUAAAGAUUAAAAAUCUAUGUAUAAAGUGUGAUAUCUGCCCGGUGCCGGCAGGCUAACAGAGAUGAUUGAAUAUAUUACUGUUUGAUAUUGACGGAAGCCCCGGUUAAAGGCGGCCUUAACGUGAGGGUCCUAAGGUAGCGAAAUGCCUUGGCCGUUAAAUGCGGUCUUGCAUGAAUGGUGUAACGAUACAACAGCUGUCUCUAUGAUUGACUCAGUGAAAUUGGAAUAGCUGUGCAGAUACAGCUUACCACUAGUUAGACGAGAAGACCCUUUGCAGCUUUACUGUUACUAAUGAUAGAUUUUGAUGAAAAAUUUUCAGACUAGAAGGGAAUUGAUUAAAUAUAUAUGAGAAACCUUUAUUUUUAUUCUUCAUUUGAAUGAAUUGAUAUACCUACAAGCGUUAGUAUAUCAUCCUAGUUCAGCCUAUGUUCUUAGUUUACUAAGAAAUAGGUAACCUUGGAAAGGAACUAUUACUAGGAGACAGUUUAUGUGGGGCACAGACCCUGUAAAGAGUAAACAGGUGUGUCUAAUAAUUAUUUUUAUUUUGUUUGCUAUUUUUAUAUAAAUCAUAUUCACUUUGAUAUAAUUCUAGUGUAAUACUUGGUGGGUUCCGCCUUACAAGUUAUACUAUUAUAUUUAUAUCGAAAAUUUAGGUAAGAUUUUGACUAUACUGAAAUUAGAGAUAAUUUAAAAUUUUAUGUAUUACUUGGUGGUUCCUUUUUUAUAGCAAGCUAUAAAAAAAUACUACAAGCUUAAUACUAAAGUUUUAUAGUUAUUCGUAUUUAUAUACGAACUAAUUAUGUUUUGAAUAUCUAAAAAGCUCAACGGCUUAAUCUUGCCUUACUGUUUGAUUAUCGACAAAUCUUACAGUUGCGUAAGCAGAGCAUAGGAUCACAAGAUGCAAUAAGGAAAGAUCUUGGAUUAUUGGAAAAGCUACGCUAGGGAUGUUUGUCCUUUAAUCUUUAUUAAAAGAAUUAUUAUAAA